rnacentral:rRNA from 1 species
CCGGUACAACGGGGUGCGACACGGUGACGUGGGGCGGAUCCCUGAAAAACCGGUCUCAGUUCGGAUCGCAGUCUGCAACUCGACUGCGUGAAGGUGGAGUCGCUAGUAAUCGCGGAUCAGCAACGCCGCGGUGAAUGCGUUCCCGGGCCUUGUACACACCGCCCGUCAAGUCAUGAAAGUGGGCAGCACCCGAAGACGGUGGCCUAACCCUUGUGGGGGGAGCCGUCUAAGGUGAGGCUCGUGAUUGGGACUAAGUCGUAACAAGGUACC